GGUCUUUUAGUAUAAUGGUAAUACAGCAGCUCUUCACGUCGUUAAUGCCAGUUCGAAUCUGGUAAAGACUA